rnacentral:rRNA from 1 species
CACGUAGGGCGCAAGCGUUUGUCCGGAAUUAUUGGGCGUAAAGAGCUCGUAGGCGGACUGUCACGUCUGCUGUGAAAAGCUGGGGCUUAACCCUGGCCUUGCAGUGGAUACGGGCAGACUAGAGGUAGGUAGGGGAGAAUGGAAUUCCCGGUGUAGCGGUGAAAUGCGCAGAUAUCGGGAGGAACACCGGUGGCGAAAGCGGCUCUCUGGGACGGUACUGACGCUGAGACGCGAAAGCGUGGGGAGCAAACAGG